rnacentral:rRNA from 1 species
UACGUAGGAGGCGAGCGUUGUCCGGAAUUACUGGGCGUAAAGCGUGCGCAGGCGGUUGUGCAAGACAGAUGUGAAAUCCCCGGGCUUAACCCUGGGAACUGCAUUUGUGACUGCACGGCUAGAGUGUGUCAGAGGGGGGUAGAAUUUCACGUGUAGCAGUGAAAUGCGUAGAUAUGUGGAGGAAUACCGAUGGCGAAGGCAGCCCCCUGGGAUAACACUGACGCUCAUGCACGAAAGCGUGGGGAGCAAACAGG